rnacentral:rRNA from 1 species
AGUGAACGCUGGCGGUAGGCCUAACACAUGCAAGUCGAACGGCAGCACAGUAAGAGCUUGCUCUUACGGGUGGCGAGUGGCGGACGGGUGAGGUAUACAUCGGAAUCUACUUUUUCGUGGGGGAUAACGUAGGGAAACUUACGCUAAUACCGCAUACGACCUACGGGUGAAAGCAGGGGAUCUUCGGACCUUGCGCGAUUGAAUGAGCCGAUGUCGGAUUAGCUAGUUGGCGGGGUAAAGGCCCACCAAGGCGACGAUCCGUAGCUGGUCUGAGGGGAUGAUCAGCCACACUGGAACUGAGACACGGUCCAGACUCCUACGGGAGGCAGCAGUGGGGAAUAUUGGACAAUGGGCGCAAGCCUGAUCCAGCCAUACCGCGUGGGUGAAGAAGGCCUUCGGGUUGUAAAGCCCUUUUGUUGGGAAAGAAAAGCAGCAGGUUAAUACCCCGCUGUUCUGACGGUACCCAAAGAAUAAGCACCGGCUAACUUCGUG